rfam:Populus trichocarpa scaffold_1_contig_235, whole genome shotgun sequence.
CUAAUUACAAGCUAUUGUCUUCCAUGGAAUAGGCAGUGAUGGCAUUUGUUUUAUUUUCCUGAGGUGGAGAAAAACAAAUAGACCAUAACACUGUUAUUCCAUGGAAGAUAAUGACUCGUGGUUGA